UCCGAAUUGGUGUAGUGGCUAACAUUUGACGCUCUCAACAGGAAAUUGUGUGAUCCGUCAAGCCCGGGGUUCGAUUCCCCGAUUCGGAG